CCUACGGGAGGCAGCAGUGAGGAAUAUUGGUCAAUGGGCUUACGCCUGAACCAGCCAAGUCGCGUGAGGGAAGACUGCCCUAUGGGUUGUAAACCUCUUUUGUCAGGGAGCAACGCCGGCUACGUGUAGCCGGACUGAGAGUACCUGAAGAAAAAGCAUCGGCUAACUCCGUGCCAGCAGCCGCGGUAAUACGGAGGAUGCGAGCGUUAUCCGGAUUUAUUGGGUUUAAAGGCUGCGUAGGCGGAAUGCCAAGUCAGCGGUAAAGUCGCGGGGCUCAACCUCGCUACGCCGUUGAAACUGGCGUGCGUGAGUGGGCGAGAAGUAUGCGGAAUGCGUGGUGUAGCGGUGAAAUGCAUAGAUAUCACGCAGAACUCCGAUUGCGAAGGCAGCAUACCGGCGCCCAACUGACGCUGAAGCACGAAGGCGUGGGUAUCGAACAGGAUUAGAUACCCGGGUAGUC
rnacentral:rRNA from 1 species